rnacentral:rRNA from 1 species
AGUUCGGAUUGUAGUCUGCAACCCGACUACAUGAAGCUGGAAUCGCUAGUAAUCGCGGAUCAGAAUGCCGCGGUGAAUACGUUCCCGGGUCUUGUACACACCGCCCGUCACACCAUGGGAGUCGGAAAUGCCCGAAGUCGGUGACCUAACUGAAAGGAAGGAGCCGCCGAAGGCAGGUCUGGUGACUGGGGUGAAGUCGUAACAAGGUAAC